UUCAAUUUCAGAUUUCAGAUACCCUAGCCCUACUUCUUCCCACCCGCCGCGCCGCUCAUCUAUCCCUCACCCGCGCCGCUCACCAAACUUCCGGUGGUCCACCUCCGAUAUUGGCCGCUCCUGUCUCCCCCACCCGAAAUCCCUCUCGGCGGUCUCGGACAGUCCAGACGCAAGGCAACGGCGACCACCGCACCAUCUACAUACACCUUCGUCUUCGUCCACCUCCGGUCUCAGCCCCUCCGUCUCCGUCCACCUCCGGUAUCGGCCCCGCUACUCUCCGGCCGCUGCUCAUCCUCCCAAGUCCCAGAAAAUGGAAUAACAAUCCAUUAAUUCAAAUAGUGAAACUAUUCACUCUCAAACACCAAAUGAUGGGGCAACCGGCGUGGUUGAAGGCUUUGUUGACCUUCAAGAGGGAGAUAACAAUACCACUGAGGCUUCCAAAGAAAAUGAAGCAAAUCCAAUUAGUGGUGUUUGGUUUUAAAUGGACUAUGAUGUUCUUAUUUAUUUUAGAUUGUUUAGUUUUAAAUGGAUUAUGAUGUAUUUUUUGUUCUUAAAUGAUUGUUGAAACUUUAGACAAUUGUUAUGAUUUUUAUUUUAAAGUUUAA